rnacentral:ncRNA from 1 species
GAAGAGCUCUACGUCGAAGGAGUAGCGACCCACGACGACCCCGAGCCAUGUGGCUGCUUCCGUAAGGGGGCUGCUGAAGCGUUGGUAGGGGCACGUGUAGGCCGGGUGAUUGAGCCGCGAAAUGAACAGUUCCAGGGCGCCGACACGUUCAGAUCCGUGGAAGGCAACACCGCCGGGAGCGUUAGUCGCGAGUUCCCGGUGGGCCCGGCGCGGUCAGACCU